rnacentral:rRNA from 1 species
GGAUUAGCGGCGGACGGGUGAGUAACACGUGGGUAACCUGCGCUCAUAGAGGGGAAUAGUCGCUUUCGAAAGGAAGUAUUAAUACCGCAUAAGAUUGUAGCUUCGCAUGAAGCAGCAAUUAAAGGAGUAAUCCGCCUAUGAGAUGGACCCGCGUCGCAUUACUAGUUGGUGAUGUAACGGCUCACCAAGGCGACGAUGCGUACCCACCUGAUGAGGGUGAUCGGCCACAUUGGGACUGAGACACGGCCCAACUCCUACGGGAGGCAGCAGUGGGGAAUAUUGCACAAUGGGGGAAACCCUGAUGCAGCAACGCCGCGUGAGUGAUGAAGGUCUUCGGAUUGUAAAACUCUGUCUUUGGGGACGAUAAUGACGGUACCCAAGGAGGAAGCCACAGCUAACUACGUGCCAGCAGCCGCGGUAAUACGUAGGUGGCAAGCGUUGUCCGGAUUUACUGGGCGUAAAGGGAGCGUAGGUGGAUAUUUAAGUGGGUAUGUGAAAUACUCGGGCUUAACCUG